rnacentral:lncRNA from 1 species
GGACACCCAGUGAGUGAGGAGUCAGGACACAUUAACAGGAUCAUGAAAGCAUAGCUACUCAAGCCAUUGCUUGGGAAAAAGAAAACAGGAGAAGGAACAAGAUGAUGAUACCGAGAAGAAAACACAGACUGGAAGGAAGGAAAAAGAACAGGGGAGGGAAUUAGAAGGCCUAUUAUGACACCUUUUUCCACUCCCUGAUUCGUGAAAUUUGAAUAAGUCCAAUAUCAACA